AUGGCCGCAGUAUCUUGACUGUGCUAAGGUAGCAUAAUAAUUUGUCUUUUAAUUAGAGACUAGUAUGAAAGAGUUGACGAUUUUUGAGCUUUUUUCUUUUUUCUUUUGAAAUUUAUAUUUACGUCAAAAAGCGUAAAUUUUUAAGAAGACGAUAAGACCCUAUAAAAUUUAAUUAAAGUAAAAUAUUAAUUUUGAAAUUCUAUAUUAUAGCCUUUAAUUUAGCUGGGGCGGCAAUUAAAAAAACUUUAAGAAAAAUAACACUUCUAAGUGAUUAAGUUAGAUCUUAUAAAGAGUUAGAAAAAUUACUUUAGGGAUAACAGCACAAUUUUUUUUGAUAGACCUUAUUGAUAAAAAAGUUUGUGACCUCGAUGUUGAAUUGAAGUUCCUUAUUUGAGCACAAAAAAAUAAAGGAGGUCUGUUCGACCUAUAACCCUUCA
rnacentral:rRNA from 1 species